rnacentral:tRNA from 3 species
GCGCCCGUAGUCCAGUGGAUAAGACGUCAGCCUCCGAAGCUGAAAAUCGCUGGUUCGAUUCCAGCCGGGCGCACCA